rnacentral:rRNA from 1 species
UACGACUACAUAUCAGGCAUAUCAAUAAGCGGAGGAAAAGAAACUAACAAGGAUUCCCUUAGUAACGGCGAGUGGAAGCGGGAAGAGCUCAAAUUUGAAAUCUUCAAGGUUCUACCUUGACGAAUUGUAGUUUAAAGAAGUGUUUUCUGUUAGAUGAGUAGCAAAAGUUCCUUGGAAUGGGACAUCAUAGAGGGUGAGAAUCCCGUAUUUGGUUAUUCAUUCUAGCUUUGUGAUACACUUUCAAAGAGUCGGAUUGUUUGGGAAUGCAGUCCAAAAUGGGUGGUAAAUUUCAUCUAAAGCUAAAUAUUGGCGAGAGACCGAUAGCGAACAAGUACCGUGAGGGAAAGAUGAAAAGAACUUUGAAAAGAGAGUUAAACAGUACGUGAAAUUGUCAAAAGGGAAGCGUUUGACACCAGUGUUGUUUUUCCGAAAAUCAAUUACGGAAUGGCUUGAUUUUGUGUUGUAUUGACCUUAUCAGCUUUCUGCACUUUUUUCGAGUCUUUCUUAAUGCACUUUUCGGUUAACAAGUCAACAUCAAUUUCUUUUGUUGUAAAAGAGUAUUCGGAAGGUGGCUUUCUUUUCGGAGAAAGUGUUAUAGCCCUAUACUUCUACAAUCGGAGAGAUUGAGGUCUGCAGCGUAGAUCCUUCGGGGUUAGAUACACUUGUGCUAAGUUGUAGCUUUUCAUAGACAACUUGUUGACUAUGUUUAGUCAUGCGGCUUACUCGCUUGUGCUAUUUUACCUACGCUUAGGAUGUUGAGUAGCGACAUACGCACA